CCUACGGGUGGCAGCAGUGAGGAAUAUUGGUCAAUGGACGAGAGUCUGAACCAGCCAAGUAGCGUGAAGGAUGACUGCCCUAUGGGUUGUAAACUUCUUUUAUAUGGGAAUAAAAUGUUCCACGUGUGGGAUUUUGUAUGUACCAUAUGAAUAAGGAUCGGCUAACUCCGUGCCAGCAGCCGCGGUAAUACAGAGGAUCCGAGCGUUAUCCGGAUUUAUUGGGUUUAAAGGGAGCGUAGGUGGAUUGUUAAGUCAGUUGUGAAAGUUUGCGGCUCAACCGUAAAAUUGCAGUUGAAACUGGCAGUCUUGAGUACAGUAGAGGUGGGCGGAAUUCGUGGUGUAGCGGUGAAAUGCUUAGAUAUCACGAAGAACUCCGAUUGCGAAGGCAGUUCACUGGACUGCAACUGACACUGAGGCUCGAAAGUGUGGGUAUCAAACAGGAUUAGAUACCCUUGUAGUC
rnacentral:rRNA from 1 species